UUUUGAUUUCGAGUCUAACAAAGA
rnacentral:siRNA from 1 species